CCUACGGGAGGCAGCAGUGGGGAAUAUUGGACAAUGGGCGCAAGCCUGAUCCAGCCAUACCGCGUGUGUGAAGAAGGCCUUUUGGUUGUAAAGCACUUUAAGCGAGGAGGAGGCUCUUGAGGAUAAUACCCUUGAUGAGUGGACGUUACUCGCAGAAUAAGCACCGGCUAACUCUGUGCCAGCAGCCGCGGUAAUACAGAGGGUGCGAGCGUUAAUCGGAAUUACUGGGCGUAAAGCGCGCGUAGGCGGCUUGUUAAGUCGGAUGUGAAAUCCCCGGGCUCAACCUGGGCACUGCAUUCGAUACUGGCAAGCUAGAGUAUGGGAGAGGAAGGUAGAAUUCCAGGUGUAGCGGUGAAAUGCGUAGAGAUCUGGAGGAAUACCGAUGGCGAAGGCAGCCUUCUGGCCUAAUACUGACGCUGAGGUGCGAAAGCAUGGGGAGCAAACAGGAUUAGAUACCCUGGUAGUCCAUGCCGUAAACGNUGUCAACUGCCGUUGGGGACCUUGAGUUCUUUAGUGGCGCNGCACGCGAGUAGUUAGUACCGCCGNGGGUAGGUACGGUCGCGAGAACGUAAACGUUAAAGUAAGUUAGUUAGCGNGAGGAGNGCGACGGACGACGACGAGGGAGGAGG
rnacentral:rRNA from 1 species